rnacentral:lncRNA from 1 species
AAUAAUAUCAUUACGAAAAAAUAAUAUCCCUUACCUCGGAAAGACAGUACUUCUAACUGGAAUACUGGAUAUAAGCUAUAACUUGAACUUGCACCGUAUAGCAAUACUCAAAGUAUACUCAAAAUACUCACAAGAAUACGCUCGAUAAUAUAGAGAGAGAAAACUUUAAUUUCUGGUGUGAUUUUCAAUUCUAACCUAAGCACCCUAUUUAUAGGAAAAUACUUAGAACACCAAAGCAGAAAAUUUAAUAAAAUAUUAAUAUAUAUUUAUUAAAUUCCUACGCACCCAAAAUCUGAUUCAAACCAUCAGCCACCAAGAGUGACUCACAUUGCCUAACUAAAAAAACGUUUUUCUUAUUAAAAAUAUUUAAAACUUCAAAAAUUAAUUAUUUCGGAGCUUCAGAACUUCAAUAAUUCACAAUAAAUAGC